rfam:Clostridium sp. BL8 Contig129, whole genome shotgun sequence.
UCCACCGUGAGGUGGAAUCUGAAGGAAGCCAGCGGCAAAACUCUGGUCUGACGUACAGAAAUCACAUAUAAGGCUUACUUAAAUCGGGCUGAGUUUGCUGAACAAAACAAAGCCCAAUGCUAAUCCGAAGGUU